rnacentral:rRNA from 1 species
AACGAACGCUGGCGGCAGGCUUAACACAUGCAAGUCGAGCGCCCCGCAAGGGGAGCGGCAGACGGGUGAGUAACGCGUGGGAAUCUACCGUGCCCUGCGGAAUAGCUCCGGGAAACUGGAAUUAAUACCGCAUACGCCCUUCGGGGGAAAGAUUUAUCGGGGUAUGAUGAGCCCGCGUUGGAUUAGCUAGUUGGUGGGGUAAAGGCCUACCAAGGCGACGAUCCAUAGCUGGUCUGAGAGGAUGAUCAGCCACAUUGGGACUGAGACACGGCCCAAACUCCUACGGGAGGCAGCAGUGGGGAAUAUUGGACAAUGGGCGCAAGCCUGAUCCAGCCAUGCCGCGUGAGUGAUGAAGGCCCUAGGGUUGUAAAGCUCUUUCACCGGUGAAGAUAAUGACGGUAACCGGAGAAGAAGCCCCGGCUAACUUCGUGCCAGCAGCCGCCGUAAUAC